UAGGUCACGGCAGUUUCCUGCUGGGGCGCUAUGAUGACAAGCCACGCUCGCCUCACACAUGAGGCGGUACUAAAUCGCCACUAAAAAGGAGGACGGAGCAACGCGGCCGAGUCGAGCCGAGCCGAGCUGCUACUAGCAGUGGCUGGAGAGUGUGUUUGCCCUCGGGGUGGAGUGCAGUGCUCCUGGCAAUCUGGAGAGCUAUGGGUCACGUUGACCAACAUGCCAAAUCCCCUUUGGACAACUCCCUCACAUGAAGGGCUCCUGAGGACAGCUGGACCAAAGCAAAGCUAUCUGGAACUGGAAAAGACAUCUAACCCACUGAUGAAAUCGGGCAUGUUUACAAAGUUCUGCGUAACAACGACAGCUUGGUGCGUGAAUAAAAAACGACAAGCAAGCCCAUGUAAAACCAUAUGGUAACAAUGAAGUAUUCUGCUGUGGAAGAUGAGCUUGUGUGCGAUCG